UGGAGAGACAGAUAAUAAUAACAAGACGGAUGGUGGUUCAGAACUUACCACAAGGAAGUCUGAAGGUUAAUUUGCCAACUGUGGAAGAAUCAGGCCACUCUGAUUUGUACCCUCUGGUUAGCUCGAAGAAGGACAUAGAUCAUAGAUCCAAAUAAAGAAAUGAUGCCAAAAAUACGGGCAUUACAUUGCCGGGGAUGGAGGGAGGGAGGAAAGGAGGGAAGCAAGGGAGGGAAGAAAAAGGAUCUUUUAGUGGCACGAAGGCUGUGCCAUUCCACUGAAAAGAGUUCCGAGUCCCAAGAGCACUGGGGUAAUGAAGAUUACGAGGCUGGCAUACCUACAGGACUCCAGUUGGCACAACAAAACUGGCCUCUCCUCCAGGCAACAGAAAACAGCCACUUCUGGAAGCUCGUCUCGGGACAUAGAGCAGCAGAAGGCCAGGGAGGCCAAUCAGAUCUUCUUCGGUCACUCCAGCAGGAACAACUUUAAUAUUUGGCCAAGAGAUGCUUGCAGAGCUGUGCACAUCAAAGAGAAUCAAAAACUGAGCAGCCUACUGUAAGGGUUUUAUUCAAUACAUGGUUCUCCCUGGUUGCAGAGAAACUGCUGAAAACUCUCAGGUCCUCGCCUACAUAAGUCAGAAAACAUCAAAGUUCGUGAAAAUCACAGCACACCUCCACCGAAUGUUAAAGCCAAGAAAAAAACAACUUUGGGGGUUGGACUGAUUUCAUAAAAUAAUCUGAGAGACUGAAGUGGAAAACAGCAAUGACUAUGAACUUUAGAGAGGCCAAAAAAUAAUCGACUACAUUUUUUUAAGAUUAUGCAAUGUUUAGCAAACUGAGAUCACUGGGGGGGGGAGAAAGAAAAGGAAUCGCACAAACUUUACUAAACAAAGUCACAUACCAACAAACAUUUAAACCACUAUAACCAAGAUGAAGAACUGAAGCUCGUUUUUAGUUACAAAGAUCUAAGGAAUGGGGGUGGGAAAUAAACAAAAGUCCAAGGGGAAAAUCAUUAAUAAGAUACUCUGAACUAUUUUCCCACAAGUAAUUUUUUGUUUAAAAAAAAAGCAAGCUACAUUGUAUGUUUAAAAAAGUCAAUCUCCUGCAUUUCUGUCCAAAUAAAACUUCUUUGCAAGCAGUCAACCAAAAAACUGAAAUUCCAUUGUCAGAGCAUGAUGUCUAUGAAAUACCACUUCAGAAAACUUUCAAAAUAUAAAAAAGAGCUGGUUAAUUAAUAGAGGUCUCUGAAAUGAAGAAAGACUAGAAAAUUAACAUAGCAAAACCCACCCGAAAGGAAACUACAAGAAAACCUGGACUUAGAUCCUUGCAGGAUAUAAUUUUAAGAGCUUCCUGUUUACUAACAACAACAAGCACACGCACACACAUGCAAACACACACACACACAAAACCACCCACAUCAUUAUUUCCAGGAAAUUAUAUAUAUAAAUAAAACAUGAAGACUUCUCUAGUAAAAACAAAUGUAAUGUCUUCCUAAACUGCCUCUAUCAAUGACGGAUGAAUUGGUAUAGCUUUUAUUAAAGGAGUAGUAAACAGAUUUUAAGGGUCAUGUUUCUAACUGCCUGAAAGAUUUCAAACCAUACAGAGAUAAAAC
ensembl:lincRNA